CAGACAAACAGAACAGUGCAAAGAGACUGAUUCAACUAACCACUGACAGAUUAUUAAUGUCCUAUUUCAUUAGAGAGAGACCACGCUGCUUACUUGAGAGAGUUAUUGUUAGCUAGGAGGAAGACAUGGAGGGUUCAACGCUGACACAGAGGAGGGCUGAGUGUCAGUUGAAGGAAAGGGCGAUCCAGACAGACUACGUGAUGGAGCUGAGAGUCAGGUUGGCUCUGGUGUGGCAGAUCCAGAGGGAGCAGGAGAAGGAAAUGAAGAGGAUUUGGUUUGAGACGAGGAAAAUGCCAAGCCUGAUUGAGGAGAAUGUGAGAGAUGUGACAAACCGUCCACUCACUGAGUUCAUGGCUCCCUGUAUUGACUCCCUCCCACCACUGGCUUUCACCAAUCGGAGGCCUAUACCAACCAUGUUACAUCCCCCCUCUCAAUUGGCCAU